GAGGGCUGCGCGCUCCUCGCCGAGAAGCUGGAGGCGCACUCGGGCGGCCGCGGCGCCCGCGCUCCUCCCUCUGCUCUGCACCCGCUGUCACGCUGCCCGCGCGCGGGGGAGCAUCGCAAGCCUCCAGGUGAAUUGAAAGUCGUUUCCGGGGGAGGACGGCGAGGGUGCUGCAGUCCUGGCAUGCACUGAAACUGCAACUCGGACAGAAACGACCCAGCGGAGGAGCGCGGCGCGCUGCGCAGCAUCCUCGGGCUGCUGGAGGCGGUCGUUGCUCAGCUCACAGCCGAGCGCCGCGGCCGGACCUCGGCCCCGGGACGCCGGCCCUGGGCGCGCUCGCCCGGAGAGACCCCCAGUCCUGCGCAUUUCGCCGCUGCGCUCGAGUGGGGAAUGCGAGCGCGGUGGCUCCAGGUCGCCGCGGAGCAGCUGCCUGGCGGAGAGCGAGGAGAGGCGAGGGGGCGGCAGCCUCGGCCCGAAAACCUGGUACAAUCCUAGCACAUAGAGGGUGCUCAAAAGUAUUUGUUGGAUGAAUGAAUGGAGAGACUGAGAUCCUAAAUUCAGACUGAUUGCGCUGUGAGCUCCCUUGUCCUGGAGACAGAGCUGGAGCCCCAACCCAGAGUCCCUGGGUGUCGCCUCAAAAGACUGUGCUGCUUCUCCAUGGAGCACUCCUCUUCCUCACCUUCUUUUUAGACUCUGGCUUGAAGCCAUCAUGAUGACCAAAGAAUGAGAGAAUGCUCAAAAAACAUGAACUUUUGGCAAAUGAUAUGUGGACCUGUGUAGGUGUCUGAUGACUUUCUGUCUACGGAGUGAAUAGAGUGAAUCAAAAUUAAGAGUCCAAGUCAGGAUCCCACAAAAGUGGCAAAAUAAAUUUGGCAAUUUCGUCGAGAUCCUUUGGCUUUGCCCAGAUCAGCCUU
rnacentral:lncRNA from 1 species